GCAUGGGUUUGGAUUUAUAGCAGGCCUGUUUCCCUGGGCCUCUCAUAGUAUACCAUGCCAGAGCAAACUAUGGCCCUGAACCAUUGCCUAGCCUCUGUGUCCAUAGGCUGUUGGCAUUGAAGUGGGUUGCACAGAG
ensembl:snoRNA